AAGCCAUGAUAAAGACACUAUCUCAAAUAACCCUUAAAUCCGUCCCAUGCUUCAUAUAUUGUCUCCCCAUCUUCCUGAGCAAAACCUCAGAUUCUAUUCAUCAUAU